rnacentral:rRNA from 1 species
GUUCACCUACGGGAGGCAGCAGUCGGGAAUAUUGCGCAAUGGAGGAAACUCUGACGCAGUGACGCCGCGUAUAGGAAGAAGGUUUUCGGAUUGUAAACUAUUGUCGUGAGGGAAGAAAUUGACAGUACCUCAGGAGGAAGCUCCGGCUAACUAUGUGCCAGCAGCCGCGGUAAUACAUAGGGAGCAAGCGUUAUCCGGAUUUAUUGGGUGUAAAGGGCGCGUAGGCGGGAUAGCAAGUCAGUCGUGAAAUGCCGAGGCUUAACCUCGGAGCUGCGAUUGAAACUGUUAUUCUUGAGUAUCGGAGG